rnacentral:lncRNA from 1 species
UUUCACCGAGUCCCGGGCCGAGUAAUGUUCGUGCUGAGUUUCUUGCAUAUGUCACCGAUUCCCUCACUAGAGGGCCGGGUAUGUAUAUUAUAUAUAUGAUUGGUGAUGAGGAUGGUUAUGAUGAUGAUGAUGACGGAGAUGAUGUGAUGACUAUUUCACCGAGUCCCUCACUAGAGGGCCGGGUACGUAUGAUGUAUAUAUAUAAUGAUUAUUUUGCCGAGUCCCUUACUAGGGACGCCGGGCACCUUAUAUGUUAAAGAUAUGCAUGAUUUUCACUUAAAAGGUACAUGUGUAGUGAUAUCUUGUUUCGACUUAUCAUGUUGGUAUCCUGUCAUCUUUACCUUAUGCUUUACAUACUUAGUACAUUCCCCGUACUGACCCCCUUUCCUCGGGGGGCUGCGUUUCAUGCCCGCAGGUGUAGACGCACAGUUCGAUGAUCCUCCCGCCUAGGAUAUCUUCUCUGCUGAUUGGGCGAGCUCCAUUGUUCCGGAGCCCAGUCGUUUUGGUACAUAACUUUCUGUGUAGUCUUUUGCUUGUCUAUGGGUAUGGCGGGACCCAGUCCCGUCGAGUUUCACUGCUAUACUCUUAGAGGUCUGUAGACAUUAUGUGGGUUGCAUAUAUAUGUUUUGGAGAAUGUUCUGGACAUGGUUUGUUUUGGAUGUCCGCUUGUAUAGGGCCAGCCUUGUCGGCUGCAUACAUCAUUGUGUAUUGUGUAGUGGCAGCCUUGUCGACUUGCGUAUGCUAUUAUGCUUUGGAUAGUGGCGGCCUUGUCGGCUCGCGUAUGUUGUUACGGUUGAAUGGUUAUGACUCCUUAUGAGACAGAUCCACUUUAUAUAUAUAUGACGUUAGGGUUGGCUUGAUUUGAUUAAAUUCCAUAUUAUCUUAGUUUCAGUUGGUUAUACUUAACAGAUUUGUAUGUGAGUGUCCAAAACAGGCACUAGUCACGGCCCAUCGGGUUGGGUCGUGACAGGAUCAGCAUAACUAACUCACUUUUAUCGCAAUAUCACGGUGAACAAUUGGAAUGCAAAAGCAAUGUGUGCAAGGUGCUUGAUGAAUCGUCUGAUAUGCACAAACAUGCAAAUUCUCUCGGUAAAUCCAGCAAGCCUGUUGAGCUUUUCAUUCCCCCCUAAUGAUAUGGUAAAUUCUGUCUCCAAAUUUUUUGUGAUACAUAGAUGUGCUGAUUAUGUUAAAAAGGAAGACACGAAGGAUGAUAAGAGGAAAUUUUUACCAUCAGAAACGAACCUAUAGAAUUUGUUAUUGAAAUACAUGUAAACCUUCAUUCUGGAAUAAUUUUAUAGUAUCUAUUUCCUAUGACCUAUCCAUUUUUGAUAUUCACAAAGCUUUGGAUGAUCUUUGGAAUAAAUUAUUCACUAUACACUACAAAAAAUUCUACCCUGUUUGGCUUAUUCAGCGUUGGAAGUAGAUCCAUUCUAUUCCUUCCACUUUCAGUUAUUCCAAGCUUACGGGCAAAGUUACUAAUGGUGGUCGGGACUAUGUUGGCUGCUUUAUCAUGUAUACUGAAUUUUCUAAAUGUGAUAGUUAUGAUCAUCUUUCAGGUUUCAAAGCAAUUUAGUUGAAAAGAGUAUAAUUUUACAUGUACAGGAUCCUGGUAUAUACAAACUGCUUCUGAAGUUGAAUCGUUUGAAUGGUAGCAAUUUUUUCCACAGCCAAACUCGAGACUUUUUAUGAAUGCAAAGCAAUUUAAGAGGUGUGUACUAACUGUGCAUAAACGAGAAUUAUUUCUUGAUGGUGGUGGAAUUGUUAAUUUGUUCCAGAUAUAUUGCAUCCAAGUGAAUCCUCAUAUAUUUGGAAUACAUGUAAAGAAAAUAUUGCUCUCUUCUCUCUCAUCUCACUCACCACUCUCAGAUAGAUAUGGUAUCUCAUUAUAUGUGAAUCACUCAAAAUACAUGCACAUAUAUGUAUCUAGUGUGAUUUACAUUGUCUCUGAGAUAGUUACAAGUCUUGCUCACCUAGUUCCCCAAUCUCUCCUCUCUCCUUUUUAUGUACCUUGUAGGAAAACGCAUGUAUCUUUGCAUAAGAUACGUAAACAAUUUUAAAUUAGUGGUAAGAUAAAUAAUAUUUUGGCAUUAUGGAUCAUUAUAAUAUUUAUAGUAGUGAAUUAUAUGUCUAAUUAUAUAGUUUUCGAAUAUUUUUAAAUAGCGUUGACCGUACAUUUUGAGAGUAGAUUUUCAAAAUUAACCUUCAAAUAUUCAUUGGACUAUAAAAUUUGACUAGAUUUUCAAAUUUUGGUUUUCAAAUAUUUUGAAGUUCCUAACACCAACUAAGAUUUGUUUUUGAAUUUUAGUAACUUCCAUUCACGAAACUCCAAGAAAUUUUGGGCAAGAAAUUUAUUUUUCUUCUAAUUACUUUAACUUUAUUGUUUACGAUUAUAAUAGCAUAUUAAAAAUUUUCUUAUUAUAUUGAAUGUUUGAAGAUUUUGAUAUAUAGAUUAUUUCAUUUCAAAUUGUGUUCUCACCUACUUUCCUCAAAUUGAUAAAGUCAUUAACAAAAUUAUAAUGUUAAUCUCUUUAAUUUAGAAUGUUUAUUUAGUUUUCUUUAUUAUGAUUAGUGCAAGACUAUAUUCAUUUAAAUAUCUAUAAAAUUAUGUUUUGUUACUUUAAUCUUAACAUAAUGAGAAGAUUUGUUUUCAUUUAUUGUAUUGCAAGAAAUUAAUUACAUCAUUGAGGAUGUUUUUUUAUAAAUAAGCAACACAUUUUUUGGACAACUCAUCUAUUACUAUAUCAUUUUAGAGUCAUGGUAGGGAAAAAGACCCUAGGACGCCAUAAGAUUUCGAUGGCCAAAAUAGAAAAUAAAUAUGAUUUAUACUCAUCAUUUUCAAAGUGUCUGGAAAUUUUAUACAAGAAAGAAACCAAUAUGAUUGGGAAAUAUGACAUUGAUGUGAGAAUAAUCGCAUUUUCCCCCUCUCAUAGUCCCUUCACUUUUUUCCAUCCUACAAUUGAUGCUAUUAUUGAUCGUUUCAUUAGUGCAUUUAACCAAGGAAGUUUAUAUAGUCGCCUUAACGUUGCAAGCACUCGAAUCAGAAACAAGUUUAGCUUGACAAUCUAGAUAUCACUAAAGAGACUUUAGCUAAUCAGAAAACAGACGAGACUGACAUAGAGGAAAUGUAGGAACAAAUAAAGGUAUUUAAUGCAGAGGAUUUGAAAAAAAUAUGAAGUCGAUUGGAUGAGAUUGAUUUAAUGCUGGAAAAUGUUAUUGCUUCUUUUCCACAAGCUCCUCAAGAAAAUUCUAAUUAAGUAUAUAAUGGUUCCUUAUACAUUUGAAGCUUCAUGCAAUGAAAUAAUUUUCUUUUCUAAAACGUUUUUAUUAUAAGUUUUAGUUUCAAUUUUUAUUAUCAAGUUGAUGGUGUUAUUUGAAUUAUUUAGCGGUGAUUUUCAUUUAUGAUGUAAAUUUAAUGAACCGAAAGACUUGAAUUUUUGUAUUGGUUAUGAGUUCAAUAUUUUUUAAUUAUCAUGGUAAGUUUUAGAAUUUUUAACAUAUGUCAAUGAUUUUGAAUAUAUUUAAUGAUACUAUCAUUGUGAAGACCUUAGAUCUUGGCUUUGAACUAAUAAAUGCAAAUUAGUUUUCAGGGUUUUAAUCUAAUCACACACAUAUGAUGUGUUUAGAAAUAAUUAAAAUUUAUUCUUACACGUUUGGGCUAUUUAGAUAUAUCUUUAACGGUUUUUAGGACAACAAUACAUUAAGAAAAUUAAAAAAUCGGAGCCAGAAGGUGAAAUUUAAUUCGAGCAAAUAGGGAGGUCCAUUUAUACUGAGUGUCGUAGAAGAUCUGUCAGGCUAAAGUGUAUCUAGUAGUUGAACUUUAGACUGAGCCAACUAAAGGGUAAAGUCACUUUUUCAAAAAAAAAUAGAACAUCUAAAUUUAAUUGUGAAAUCAAAAUUUUCAUGAUGGCUAAGCUUUCGUAAAUGAACAUUUUGGCCUAUUUUUUUAAAUGAUGAGUGAGUUUUACACCCAUUACUAACAAAUUUGACAAUUUUUUAUAUGUAUUUGUAACAUCUCGCAACUAAGAAGAACAACAAAAGAGUUUAAAAUCUGAAAAUAGUUACUAUUAAAUAUAUAAGGAAAUCUGAAAAUCUUUGAGUAAGCCAAAAAGUGAGUUUUUCACUUAUUUCAAACCACUAUAAGUCCUAACCGAAGAUGAUUUAGGUGUAAUUCCACAUAUGUUUGGAAUUAUGAAUUAUCAUUCCCAUGCCACUAAGUUUGCGCGAUUAGGAGUUCAUAUGAGUGAGUUAUGUCUUUUGGAAGUUGAGUUGUUGGAUAAAGCAAAGUCUAAUCCGGAUUUGGGAAGGAAAAAUUUGUCCUUUUCUUACCUAAUUAUAUAAAUUCGUUUAUAGUGAUUAAUUAGGGUAAAAUAAGACUUCAUUCACUUUAGAAAAAUUUAGAGUUUACGCAAGGGAUUGGAGAAACGAUAAAAGAGGAGAAAUCAAGAAAUUUCUAAUUCAUUCAAGCUUUGCGUGUGGAAUUUGUCGGGGGUGAUCCCUAUAAAGGUAUGCGAGAUCACAUAGUGUUGGGUUAGUUUACCCAUGUGCCAACCAUGUUUCAAUUCAAAGAAUUUAAGUUUUAGUAUGUUAAGAAAUUGAGUUCUUGAAGAACAUCGUUGAAAGUUUCGUUGAAUUCUUGUGGGUUGUUUAGUUGAAGUUUAUUGAGGUUUGAUUCAUAUUUUCGACUGUAGUUUUCUUGAAUUUAUCGUAUAUUUAGAGUACUAUUUAUCUUUAGUGUUUGGGGAAAGAACCAUGGAAGUUUAGAACGCCUUGAGAUGAAUAAUGAAGGAGAAAAGUCGGAGUCAAUAGGGAAAAAGGGUGAGGCAUCGCGCUAGUCGGUGUACCCCAAAGAAAUCUCUGUCUAUAGGGCUCUGGGGACGCGCCAGACAGAGCACCCCAACCAAUGCUAUGAAGAUUGAGGGCGAACUCCUCAUGCCUCUUAGAGUUUCGAGGAUGCUAGUUCUCCCCAUUCUUCUUCCAUCUUUUCGUACUAGGUUCCUCAGUGAUUUACCAAUGUUUCCUGGUUGAUUCAAACACUCUAAGGUACAUCUAAACAUAAUUAAAUUAUCUGUAAAUGUGAGAUCAUGAACUCUGAACCCAUAAUCCAAUUUAAGGAAAGUUAAUAUCAAAAUCAUGAGAAGUUAAGAUAAAGUCUAGAAGUUAAGGGCAAGUCAAAAUAAAGUUUAUAAAGUUUUCAAAAGUCUUUCACAAACGUUUUCACUUUGUUCUAAAGACUUAAAAUUCUGGUCGAGUAAAGAGUAAAGGUUGAAGUCAUUUCUUCAAAGAAGUAUAUGGGGACUAUGAUUUCCCAAAGAUUUUAAAAAUAUUUUUCUCAUUUGAGAAAGAAAGGUAACAUCGCUUCCGAAAGGUAACAUCGCCGAGCUUUUAAGCUAUGUUUUGAGUAAUUAUUUGUAACCAAAGAAAGAAGUUGUUUUAAAAAGAUAAGAUCUAAGUAUAUUAUUAGAAGCACCGAUAUGCUGAUGCGAGUUCAUAUCAACUCAAGUUUUCAUAAACCAUGUAGUCAUCAUAAGUAUUAAAGGGUUAUACUUUUUAGAUGAUCACUUAAGUUAAGCUAGUGAAUCAACUAAGUUAUGUAGUUUUGUAUGACGUCAUAGUAUUGAACAGUAUAGCGGGGUGAUGGUAACAAUCUUGAUCACCACUUAGGAUCAUAGAGGUGGUUGUCGGUUAGAGAAACUCCCACAGUAAUAAGUGCAUGGUUCCUCAAGAGAUUCUGCUUAGUUUGAAUGGGGUAUGAUACUUCAUUCAUGCAUUGCACAAGUAGACUUUGAGAGGGAGCAUCCUCUUUUUUUUAUUGCACUUGUUCUAAACUACUUUAUAAUGAAAUGAGUUCAAUUAGGUAUUGAGGAGUUGAGAAAGCCAAGAUAAGUGUUUCUUUCAGAAUCUUCUCAAUCUUAUGGUGUAUUUGGUAUUCUAACUCGCAUACUCGGUCAUUCAAUAUACUGAUGUCAAUUUACCUGGAUUGUCUAAUGAUGCAUACACAAGUAACUAGGAUUAGCACCUAGCACACCAUUGAUCCAAUGAGCAGCUUAGUGUCAGUUGGUGAGCCUUCUUGCAUUCCAGAGGAAUCCUUUUCAUUGUUUACAAUUUUAUUUUUGCAGUUGUUAGGAUGAUUGGGGGUUUUAUCCCGACAUCCAUCUCAGUUAUUCGAGGCUUCAUAGAUAGCUAGUUAUUAGACAUUUGUCUUUACAUUGUCAUUAAUAUGUACUAAUACUUGAGUUGUCAUUUAGCUAUAUUCAAUGUUUAUUUUUUUAAAAAAAGGUUUGAGUCUUAUGAUUAGUUAAGUAAGUCAGGCCAAAGGCUUGCUUAGGGCCAACAAUGGUUCUUGAGUGCCGGCAACGUCCCAGGUGUAGGCUUGGGGCGUGAACAACUUGAUAUUAGAACCUAGAGUUCAAGAGUCCUAGGGAGUGUAUGAAGUGGUAUUUGUAGAGUCCUAGUUAUCAGUGCGAAGCGCGUCACAUCUAUAAUUAGGAGGCUGCAACAGUUAGAAAUUCCUUCACUUCAUUCAUACUUAUUUCGUGUGUUGGAGUUUGACCUCUAAAAGGUUUCCUUCUAAUUUGUGCUUGCACGUGUUUUCAGAGAAUUAUUCCUCCACGAAGAGAAGUCAAAAAUCCUCCAACUAGGAAGAAUAAUGAGGAACAAGAAUCCCAAUACACCUGAAGUGCAACCUCAAUGAAAAGUUACCCAUGCUGAAUUUUGUGAGACUAUCUGAACGUUAUGUCAAGUUUCAACCUAUCAAAUUGGACAGAGAGAUAAUCGACAGGAAAUGGUUGAUACAUCAAAGAUUUGAGAGCUUUUAAGGAUGAAUCCCCCAAGCAUCACAGGUUCAAGUGUCACUGAGGAUCCAGAAAACUUUAUUUGGUGUAAUGCAAUUGUUGAAGCAGAGAGGGUGGAACUGGUUGCAUACCAAAUGAAGGGUGUCGCUGGAAUCUGGUUUGACCAAUGGAAAAAGAAUAGGGUGGAGAAUGCACCGGUAGCGAGUUGGGUUGUGUUUCAGAGUGCUUUCAUGGGGCGUUUAUUUCCUUGUGAGUUGCGAGAGGAAAAUAUAAAAGAGUUUCUCACCCUUAAUCCGGAGUCUGUGAGUGUUCAUGAAAACGGUCUAAAAUUCACAUAACUUUCACGCUAUGCUCCAGAGACGGUUUCUGACAUGAGGAGUAGGAUGAGUUUCUUUGUUCAUGGGUUGUCUUUUUAGUCAAGCAAGGAAGACAAGGCUGCUAUGCUGAUAGGGGAUAUUGACCUAGCAAGACUUAUUAUACAUGUACAACAAGUUGAGAAAGAUAAGCUGAAGGAUAGAGAAGACUUUAAGAAUAAGAGGGUCAAGACAUCAAAUAAUGAUUUUAGGCAACACAAGAGUAAAUACAACUCUCCUACGGAAACAGAAGGGACAUGCUCCACCAUUUGGUAGUGCACCUGCACUUAAGAACAAAGGUGAUUACAAUAGUCAGAAUCCCCAUAGUUUCAAAGCUAAACAUGCGUGUGCUAGGUGUGGUAGAAAACACCAAGGUAAGUGUUGUGAUGGGAAGACAUGUUGCUUCAAGUGUGGUAAAAAGGGUCACUUUAUGAGAGAGUGUCCCCAGAUCUUGCAAAGUCAUGGUAAUAAGGCCCAGCCUUCUUUAGUUGCUCCACAAGACAGAGUUGCAACUCAAGGAGCUGCUUCAGGUACUAGAGGGGAAACAAACCGAUUAUAUCCUAUCAAAAGUCAUCAAGAGAAAGAAAAUUUGCCAGAUGUUUUCACAGGUAUGAUCAAACUCUUUGACUUGCUGUUUAUGCUUUGUUAGACUCAGGGGAGAGCUUAUAUUUUGUUACUCCUUAAGUUGCUUUGAAUUUUGAUGUUAUUCCUGAGCAACUUAGUAAAUCAAUCAGUGUUAGUACACCUGUUAGUGAGUCUAUUCUAUUAGAGAGAGUCUAUCGUGAUUAUAUCAUUUCUGUCAAUCACAAGAAUACCAUGGCUGGUUUAGGUGAGUUAGACAUGGUAGGUUUUGAUGACAUUCUAGGUAUGGACUAGAUUCAUGGCUUUUACGUAGAUUGUAGAACUCGAGUUUGUUCCUUAAGCCAAGGAAGUUAAAGUUAGUUUCUAAGGGGAGUGUCUAUCAUUUACUCCAAGUUAAUGACUCUAGUGUUAAGAUACCUCUUAUUUAGUUAAUUCGAGUAGUAAAAUAGUUUCCAUAAGUCCUUUAAGAUGAUCUUCCCGGAGUCCCUCUUGAUAUACAAAAUAGACUUCGGCAGGGUUGAAAGAGCUUAAAGAACAGCUGAAAGAUAUGUUAGAUAAGGGUUUCAUUCGACCAAGAGUCUCACUUUAGGGCGCUACAAUCUUGUUUGUGACAAAUAAAGAAUAAGUAUCCUCUUUAUCAAAUUGAUAAUACUUUCGAUCAGCUUCAGGGUGCUUCUUAUUGUUAUAAGAUUAACCUCAGAUGUGGCUACCAUCAGUUGAAAGAAAGGGAGUGUGAUAUUCCCAAGAUAACAUCUAGGACCCCUUAAGGUCAUUAUGAGUUUAUGGUCAUGCCAUUUGGUUUCACUAAUUCACUUGCAAUAUUUAUGAACCUUAUGAAUAGAGUCUGUAUACGUCAUUUAGAUAUGUUUGAUAUCAAUUUUAUCUAUGACAACUAAUCUAUUCAAGAAAUGAAGAAGAUCCUUCUAGUCAUCUCAAACUAGUCCUCCAGUCUUUGAAUGACGAGGAGGUAUAUGCUAAGUUCCCCAAAUGCGAGCUUGACUUGAUAUUAUGGCGUUCUUGGGUUACAUAGUUUCCGGUGAUGGAAUUAGAGUUGAUACCAAAAAGAUAGAACCAGUUCAAAGUUGGCCUAGACCCACAUGUUCAACUGCAAUAAGGAGUUUCUUAGGUUUGGCUAGAUUAAAUAGAAGGUUUGUAGAGGGGUUCUCCUAUAUUUCUUCCGUUUUGACCUAUUAACUCAGAAAAGAGUAAAAUAUCAAUGGUUUGAGGCUGGUGAGAAAAACUUUUAGGAAUUGAAAAACAGAUUGACACUUUCCCAAUUUGAUCUUACAAGAAGGUAAGCAAGGCUUUGUUGUCUAUUGUGUUGCGUCUAGAAUUGUUUGAGUUGUGCGUUAAUGUAGAAUGACAAAUUUAUAGCUUUUACCUCCAGGUAGUUGAAAUUUCAUGAGAAGAAUUACCCAAACCAUGAUCUAGAGUUUGAUGUUGCGGUAUUUGUUUUGGAAAUAUUGUGCCACUAUCUUUAUGGUAUUCAUGGAUAUAUAUUCACCGAUUAUAAGAGUCUUACGUGUUUACUUAGAAAGGGCUUAAUCACACACAAAGGAGGUGGCUAAAAUUACUCAAAGACUAUGACAUGAGUAUUCUUUAUCACCCAGGUAAAGCUAAUGUCGUUGUUGAUACUUUAAGUAAAUUCUCAAUGCUUGAAUGAAAGGCAACUGUUCAUAAUUAAAAAGUGAUGGCUUUUGAACCAGGGGGAGAUGCUGUUUUGAGGUAUGAAGAUAGAUUGUGUGAUUGAUUUUAAGGUUUAUUGGGAUAAUCACCUACCUCACAUGGAUUUUUUUACAACAAUAGUUACCAUUCUAAUAUCCAAAUGGAUCCUUAUGAAGCUCAUUACGGGAGAAGAUGCAGAUUUGAUUUUUAAUGGUUCGAAUUUUGUGAAGUAGGGUUGAAAGGACCAGAGUUACUUAAUCAAGCUAUGGAGAAAAUGAAAUCCAUUCAAAAUAGAUUGGAACCAACAAAAACUCAUCACAAAUCCUACAUUGAUGUUAGGAGAAUGUAGUAACAGUUUGAGGUAGAUGAUUGAGUUACUUGAAAAGUUUCACCCAUGAAGGGUGUUAUAAGAUUUGAUAAGGAAGGGAAGAUCAGUGUACAAUAUAUUGGUCCUUCCAAAAUAUCCAAGAGGAUUGACAAUGUAGCUGGUAAGUUAGAGCUACCACAAGAAUUAGUUGUAGUCCAUCCGGUGUCUCACAUCUCCAUCUUGAAGGAGUGCAUGGGAGAUACUGUACUUAUCAUACCAAUUGAGAGGAUAUUGAUAUCACGGAUAGUUUGUCUUAUGAGGAGGUUCCGGUUCAGAACCUAGAUCGCCAAGUUCGGAAGUUGAGAAUAAAGCAAGUAGCAUCGAGUCAAAGUUCUGUGGAGAAAUUAGUUUGUAGAGAAGCUACUUGAAAAUAUGAAGAGGAUAGGAGAAGAGAUACCCUCAUCUCUUCUGAUCCGGCGAAGCUUCAAAUUAAAGGUACUAAUCCUUUUCUUGGCAUUAAUAUUAAGUUGGCUUCUUGAAAUUGCAUUGUGCUUGUUGAGUGUUUAAAUUGUAUAAUUGAUGUGACACCUUUAACCUUGUCACAACCCAACCCGAUGGGCCGUGACUAGUGCCCGUUUUGGACACCCAUAUACAAACCUGCUAAGUAUAACAAACUGAAACUAAGACAAUAUAGAAUUUAAUCAAAUCAAGCCAACCCCAACGUCGUAUAUAUAUAAGAGGACCUGUCUCAUAAGGAGUCAUAACCAUUCAACCAUAACAGCAUACGCGAGCUGACAAGGCCGCCACUAUUCCAAGCAUAAUAACAUACGUAAGCCGACAAGGCUGUCACUACACAAUACACAAUGAUGUACGCAGCCGAAAGGGCUGCCCUUGUACAAGCGGACAUCCCAAACAAACCAUGUCCACACCAUUAUCCAAAACAUAUAUAUACAACUCACAUAAUUUCCACAGACCUCUAAGAGUACAUUAGUGAAACUCGACGGGAAAGGGCCCCGCCAUACCCAUAGACGAGCAAAAGACUACACAAAAGUGAUGUACCAAAACGACUGGGCUCCGGAAUAGUGGAGCUCUCCCAAUCAGCAGAGUAGAUAUCCUAGGCGGGAGGAUCACCAAACUGUGCGUCUACACCUGUGGGCAUGAAACGCAGCCCCCCGAGGAAAGGGGGUCAGUACGGACAAUGUACUGAGAAUGUAAAGCAUAUGGUAAAGAUGACAGGAUACCAAUAUGGCAAGUCGAAACAAAAUAUCGCUACACAUGCACCCUUUUAAGUGAAAAUCAUGCAUAUCUUUAAAAUAUAAGGUGCCCAGCUUCCCUAGUAAGGGACUCGGCAAAAUAAUCAUCAUUUCAUCUCCGUCAUCAUCAUCAUCGUAACCAUCCUCAUCACCAAUCAUAUAUAUAAUAUACAUACCCGGCCCUCUAGUGAGGAACUCGGUGACAUAUGCAAGAAACUCCGUACGAACAUUACCCGGCCCGGGACUCGGUGAAAUGAUAAAUGACUCCAUGCACGAGCAGAAUAUUAUGAGCAACCAUAUGCAAUUAAAAUCAUUUCUUAUAACUCAAUAGAACAAUCAACAUGAACCAACAAGGAGUAUUACCAAAGAUUAAUGUUUUAUCAAGAUUAUGAACCUUUAAUACGAUAUGGAAAUGUAAAAUCUCAAUGACUCUAAGAAGCACUACCAUAGAUAUUAGAGAUCAUCAUAGCCUUAGACAUAGCCGAUAUAUAGAGGAAUAAUUGUGGAAGCAAGAAUAUACGUCACCUAGACGCUCUAGAGGUAAGUAUCAAACCUGUCCGUUAUUCUCUUAUUUUAAAAUGUCAUGCCAAACAAAGAAAGAAGGGACAACGUCACAUACCGUAUAAUCAAGCCGCACGUCCAAUAUUUACUACUCAAGCUAUUAAUCUAUAACAAGCAACAAUCGUGCCGCAAUUAGAUAAACAUCUAGCUUUACUUUCUUGUAAGCUAGCUAAUAAUCUAACGAAAAUUCGGCAGCACUUCCCCUAUUUUCCUUACUUCGUCCCAAUCCGACAACAACCCAAAUUAUCCACAGCAAUACCAAUAACACAUAUAACCCAACGAAUCAUAUUAAACAGCCCCCUCCCCAAAACAGUUCUGUCUCGGCAACCAUAGUAGCGAAGCAACGACACACCGAGCGAUAACUCAUUUUAUAAUUCGCAACACAUCUACCUUAUCGUAUUCAUCCUUUGGAGUAUAUACUCAUAAUCACAUUCAACAUAUACAUAAUGCCAAAACAGAAUUUUCCUUCAGUUUGCUUUAAUCAAAACAACCCAAGCACCAACAUGACACCACUAAUAAUCCAAUUCUGGUUUCCGUUCAUACCUAGCACAUUCAAUAACUAAAACAAACUUCCUAAGCUACUGGUCACGCCCCCUUCUUAAAAUUAAUGGAUAAUUAACAAAGGUAUUCUAAAGAAUUAACACACCAAACAAGGAGAUUACUAACCAAAUUAUUUGCAGCUGCUGGCCAAGAGUUGAAGGGUUGGUUUCUCCAUUUCCAUGGCUGCCUAAGAAAAGUGGUGAAGAAGAAGAUGAUAUGCAGCAAUGCAUUUCACCACUUUAUUUAGCAUGGAGUGGAUUUAUCCACCUCAUUUAAUAGUAUGAAGUGGAGGCAGCCCCCCUCUACACCUGUCUAUUAAGGCCAGCUCACAAUCUGAUCCCUUUUUAAUUUUUGCCUUGAGUGGUGGGUCCCACUUGAUUAAAUUAAUCCUAAUCAGCCACCAAUUAUGAGUGGUAGGCCCCAUUUGAUUAAAUCAAUCCAAAUUAGCCACUAAUUAGUCCCUCACUUAAAGUUAAUGACACUUACAUUAGCCAAUUCAUACUUAAUAUCACAUUUGGAAAUAACAUCCUUGCCUAAUAUUUCUUUAAUCACUUGGAACUUAAAAUAAAAUCUCAAUCCCCGGACUUACGUCUACUAGAUCACGAUGCGCACUACGUAUAUAAAAAAACGAGGCAUAACAAACCUAGUACGAAUAAUGUCAUUCGAGGAUGAAUGUUCCCAAGGGGGGAGAUAUUGUAACAUCUCAUAACUAGAAGAACUAGAAAAGAAUGUAAAAUUUGAAGAUAAAUACUUUUGGUAAGUAAAAGGAAAUCUAAAAAUCACCAAGUUAAAAAAAGUGAGUAUUUGGCCAACUUCAAACGAUCAUAACUCCUAGCCCAGGAAAAGUGUGGUGUAGUUCAAGAUAUGAUUGGAAAGCCUUUGGGAAUGAUUAUUACAAUUUCGUAAAGCUUGCACGAUUCCAAGUUCGUAUGAGUGAGUUAUAUCAUUUGGAAGUUCAGCAGUUGAAUUAAGGAAUAUCAAAUCCGGAUUAGGGAUGGGCAAAUUUGUUUUUCCUUACCUAAUUAUAUUAAUUCAUUCUUUAGGGAUUAGUUGGGGUAAAAUAUUACUUCAUUCAGUUCAGAUAUGGUAUCCCAAUACAUGUGAAUUUCUAAAGAUACAUACACAUAUAUCUGGUGUAUAUCUAGAGCGAUUCAAUGUGUCUGAGAUACAUACAAAUCUUGCUCUCCUCGUUUCCCAAUCUCACCUCUCUCCCUUAUUAUGUAUCUGAUAGCAAAAAUAAAUGUAUCGAAGCAUAAGAUACGUAAAUAAUUCUAUAUUAAUGGUAAGAUAGAUAAUAUAUUGGAAAUAUCGAUAAUAAUAAUAUUGAUAGUAAUUAUAUGUCUAAUUAUAUAGUUUUCUAAUAUUUUAAAAUAGUAUUGACCAUAUAUUCUGAGAGUAGAUUUUAAAAAUUCACCUUUAACUAAUUAUUUGAAUAUAAAAUUUGACCAGAUUUUCAGAUUUUGGACUUCAAAAUAAAUAGUAUUGACCAUAUAUUCUGAGAGUACAUUUUAAGAAUUCACCUUUAACUAAUUAUUUGAAUAUAAAAUUUGACCAGAUUUUCAAAUUUUGGACUUCAAAUAUUUUUGAGUUCCUAAAAAUAAGAUUUAUUUCUUGAUUUUAGAAACUUCCAUUCAAGUAGCUCCCAAAAGUUUAGGCAUGAAAUUUAUUUUUCUUCUAAUUAAUUUAACUUUUGUCGUCUACAAUUAUAGCAGCAUAUUAAAAGUUCUCAUAUUUUAUUGAAUGUUUGAAGAUUUUGAUAUAUAGAUAAUUUCAUUUCGAAUUGUGUUCUAACCUACUUUCUUCAAUGUGAUAAAGUUAUUAACCAAAUUAGAAUUUUUUUAAUGUCAUUUAUUUAGAAUUUUUAUUUAUUUUUUGUUAUUACGUAAGUGCAAGACUAUAUUCUUUUAAAUAUUUAUAUAAAUAUAUUUUGUUACUACAAUUUUAACAUACUGAGGAGAUUUGUUUUCAUUUAUUGUAUUGCGAGAAAUUAAUUACAACAUUGAAGAAUUCUUUUGUAUAAAUAAGCAUUAAUUUUUUUUGGAGAGCCUCAUCAAUUGACAUUAUUUAAAGUCAUGGCAGAAAAACAGACCCUAGGACGCCACAAGAUUUCAAUUGCAAAAAUUCAGAAUGAAGCAUAUUUAUGCUCAUCAUUUUUUAUGCUUCGGAAAAAUUUAUACAAGAAAAGAAGCGAUAUGAUUGGGAAAUAUGACAUUGAUAUGGGAAUAAUAAGAUUUUCCCUCUCAGAUAAACCCUUCUCUUUUUUUGCACCCGACAAUUGAUGCUGUUGUUGAUAGUUUGUUUUGUCCAUUUGACCGGGGAAGUGAAAAUAGUCGCCAUAAAAUUGCAUACACUCAGAUCAGAAUCAAGGAGAAUCAAGUUGAGCUUGACAAUCUCGAGAUGAUAAAAGAGACAUAAGCUAAUCAGACACUAGACGAGACUGACAUUAAAAAAAUGUGGGAACAAAUAAAGGUAUUUAAUGCAAAGGAUUUGAAAAAAUCUGAAAGUCGAUUGGAUUAUAAUUUGAUGUUGAAAAAUGUUGCUUCAUGCAAAUAAAUAAUUAGAUUUUUUUAAAAAAAAAUAUAUUUUCGUUUUAUGUUCUAGUUUCGAUGUUUAUUUUAAAGUUGAUGAUGUUAUAUGAAUUAUUUAGUUAUGAUUUAAAUUUAUGAUAUGAAUUUAGUGAACCCAAAGACUCAAAUUUUUUUUAUUAAUUAUGAUUUCAAUAUUUAAAUUUAUCAUGGUACGUUUUUACAAUUCUUAAAAUAUAUGUCAAUGAUUUUGAAUAUAUUUAAUUUUACUAUCACUAUGAGGACCUCAGAUCUUGGCUAUGACUACUAAAUGCAAAUUAGUUUUCUGGAUUUUAAUCUAACCACACUCAUAUAAUGUGUUCAAAAUUAAUUCAAAGUUAUUCUUACACGUUGGGGUAUUUAUAUAUAUCUUAAACGGCUUUAGGAAUAAUACAUUCUGAAAAAUAAAUAAUCAGAACUAGAAGGUGAAAUUAAUUCGAGCGGAUAGUGAUGUCCAUUUUCUCUCAGCAUCGUAGAAGAUCUCUUAGGUAAAAGAGACUCUAGUAGUUGAAUUAUAAAUUGAUUCAACUAAAGGUAAUGUCACUUUUUGAGAAAAAAUAAAAACUUUCAAUUUAGUGGUGAAAUCGAUAUUUUCAUGAUGGCUAAGCUUUCGUAAGUGACAAAAUCGACCAAUUUUCUCAAUGAUGAGCACAGUUUUACACCCAUUAUCAAUAAAUUUGACCAGCUUUGUUUUAUGUAUCUAUCACAAAUCAGUUGUUAAAAUAAUUGCGUAUGGAUUUUAGUAACACAAAAAUAUGCUGAUUAGGUUUUUAAUUAAAUAAUUUGAUUUGUCAAAAAAAAACUAGGACUAUUUUUUCGUUGUGUGCUGUUAUAUAUGAUAAAACUUCCAAAAAGAAGUUCAUUGGAUAAAUUUUUAUUACAUAAAUUCCACUAAUUUAAGAAUGAAUUACUUAAAUACAAUACAGUUUGGAAUAUUAUUUAUUUUACCAGAUUUUUGUGCAUAAAUGCUUCCAAAUACUGGUAUCUCAUAUACAUGGGAUCAAAUUUAAGUGUAAUUUGUUUAAGAUAUAUUAUAUCCAAGUGGAUCCACUUGUAUUUGUUAUACAUGUAUAACAAAUCUUGCUCUCUCCUUUCUCUCAUCUCACUCACAAUUCGAAGAUAGAUAUGGUAUCGUAAUACAUGUGAAUCAUUUAAGUUAUAUACACAUAUACGUAUCUAGUGAGUAUCUAGUGUGAUUUACAUAUGUCUAAGAUACAUACAAAUCUUGCUCGCCUCGUUCCACAAUCUCGCAUCUCUCCCUUUUUAUAUAUUUGAUAGCAAAAAUACAUGUAUUUAAGAAUAAGAUAUGUAAAUAAUUCUAAAUUAGUGGUAAAAUAGAUAAUUCUUUGGCAAUAUAGAAAUAAUAAUAAUAUUUAUAGCAGUGAAGUUUAUGUCUAAUUAUAUAGUUUUGUGAUAUUUUGAAAUAGCAUUGACCAUAUAUUUUGAGAAUAUAUUUAAGAAAUUCACAUUUAACUAUUAUUUAACUAUAAUAUUUGAUCAGAUUUUCAAAUUUUGUUCUUCAAAUAUUCUGAAAUUCCUAACACUAAUGUUUAUUGGAUUUUGGUAAUUUUCAUUCACGAAACUCCAAGAAAUUUUGGGCAAGAAAAUUAUUUUUUUCUAAUUACUUUAACUUUUGUCGUCACAAUUAUAGUACCAUAUUGAAAAUUUUCCUAUUAUAUUGAAUGUUGACGAUUUUUAUGUAUAGAUUAUUUCAUUUCAAAUUGUAUUCUCACAAACUUUCCUCAAUUUGAUGAAGUCAUUAACUAAAUAAGAAUAUUACUCUCUUUAGUUUAAUUUUUAUUAUUAUGGUAAGUGCAAGACUAUAUUCUUUUAAAUAUCUGUAUAAAUAUAUUUUGUUAUUAUAAUUUUAACAUAAUGAGGAGAUCUGUUUUCAUUAAUAUAUAGUAUUGCAAGAAAUUAAUUACGACAUUGAAGCAAUGUUUUUGUAUAAAUUAGUGUUGCAUUUUUUUGGAGAGUCUCAUCGAUUAACAUAUCCUUUUAGAGUCAUGAAAGAAAAAGAAGAUUUUGACGGCCAAAAUAGAAAAUGAAGAUGAUUUAUACGCAUCAUUUUUUCAAUGUAUUGUAAAACUUUAUACAAGAAAGGAAGCGAUAUGAUAGGGAAAUCACAUUGAUGUGGGAAUAAUAACAUUUUUCCAGUAUGAUAAUUCUUUCUUUUUUAUACCCUACAAAUGAUGUUGUUGUAGAUCGUUUCUUUAGUCUAUUUGACCAGGGAAGUGAAAAUAAUCGCUUUAACAUUGCAAACACUCUGAUCAGAAUCAAGAAGAACCAAGUUGAGCUUGACAAUCUCGAGAUCAUAGAAGAGACUUUGGUUAAACAGACAACAGAAAAUACUGACAUAGAAGAAAUCGGGGAAUAAAUAGUAGUAUUUUAAUUCAGAGGAGUUGAAAAAAUCUAAAAGUUGAUUGGAUGGGAUUGAUUUGAUGCUGAAUAAUGCUGCUCCUUCUUUUUCACAAGCUCCUCGAGAAAAUGCUAAUUAAGCAUACAAUGGUUCGUAUACAUUUGAAGCCUCAUGUGAUGAAAUAAUUAUUUUUUUUGUAAACAAUAAGUUUAAGUUUGGAUGUUUAUUAUAAAGCUGAUGGUGUUAUUUAAAUUAUUUAGUUGUGAUUUCAAUUUAUGAUAUGAAUUUAGUGAACCUAAAGACUCAAAUUUUUGUAAUUAUGAAUUCAAUAUUUAAAUGUCUCAUGGUACAUUUUAGAAUUUUUAACAUAUAUGUGAAUGAUUUUGAAUAUAUUUAAUGAUAUUAUCAUUGUAAAGACUUUAGAUCUUGGUUUUGGACUAAUAGAUGCAAAUUAGAUUUCAGGCUUUUAAUCUAAUCACACCCAUAUAAUGUGUUCAAAAUUAAUUUUUAAACUUAUAAAUUUAUUCUUACAAUUUUUGGCUAUUUAAAUAUAUCUUAAACGGUUUUUAGGAAAAAAUAGAUUUAAAAAAAUAAAUACUCGGAGCUAGAAGGUGAAAUUUAAUUCGAGCAGAUAGUGAGGUCCAUUUUCUCUCUAUAUCGUAGAAGAUCUGUCAAGUUAAAGUGUAGCUAGUAGUUGAACUACAGAUUGAUCCAACUAAAAGGUAAGCUCACUUUUUUGAGAAAAAAUAAAAACAUUUAAAUUUAGUAGUGAAAUUGAAAUUGUCAUGAUGGCUAAGCUUUCGUAAAUGACAAUUUUGGCCUAUUUUCUCUGUGAUGAGCGCAUUCUUACACCCAUCACAAACAAUUUUGUUCAUUUUUUAUAUGUAUUAUCACACACCAGUUGUUAAAAUAAUUGCAUAUAGAUUGUAUUAACACAAAUAUAUGCUGAUUAGGGUUUUAAUUCAAUAAUUUGCUUCGUCAAAAAAAAGAAGCAGCUAAGAUUAUCUUUUCGUUGUGUAAUGUUAUAUAUAAUAAAAGUUCAAAAAGGAAGUUCAUUGAAUAUUUUUUACAUAUAUUUCCACUAGUUUAAGAAUGAAUUACUUAAAUACAUUAUAGUUUGGAAUAUAAUUAUUUUACCUGAUUUUUGUUCAUUCAAAUACAUCCAUAUACUGAUAUCUCAUAUACAUGGGGUCAUAUUUACGUGUAAUUUGUUUUAUAUAUAUAUAUAUAUACAUUGUAUCCGAGUGGAUCUGACUGUAUUUGACAUACAUGUAUAGGAAAUCUUGCUCUCCUCUCUCUCAUCUCACUCUCCACUCUCAGAUAGAUGUGGUAUCCCAAUACAUGUAAUUCACUCAAGAUACAUACAUAUAUAUGUAUCUAGUGUGUAUCAAGUGUGAUUUACAUGUAUUUGAAAUACAUAUAAAUUGUACUCGCCUAGUUCCCCAAAUCUUGCCUCUCUCCCUUUUUAUGUAUCUGGUGGCAAAAAUACAUGUAUCUUAGCAUAAGAUACGGAAAUAAUUCUAAAUUAGUGGUAAUAUAGAUAAUAUUUUGGCAAUAUAGAUAAUUAUAAUAUUUAUAGCAUCGAAGUAUAUGUCUAAUUAUAUAGUUUUCUAAUAUUUUAAAAUAACAAUGACCAUAUAUUUUGAGCAUAGUUUUUCAAAAUUCAUCUAUAACUAUUUAUUAGACUAUAAAAUUUGACCAGAUUUUCAAAUUUUGGUCUUAAAUAUUUUGACGUUCCUAACACUAACUAAGAUUUGUUUUUGGAUUUUGGUUACUUCUAUUCAUGAAAAACCAAGAAAUUUUUUGUAUGAAAUCUUUUUUUCUUCUAAUUACUUUAACUUUUGUCGUGUACAAUUAUAGUAGAAUAUGAAAAUUUUUUCUAUUAUAUUGAAUGUAUGAAGAUUUUUAUAUAUAGGUUAUUUCAUUUCAAAUUGUGUUCUCACCUACUUUCCUCAAUUUGAUAAAUUCAUUAAUCAAAUUACAAUAUUAAUCUCUUUAAUUUAGAAUUAUUUAUUUAUUUAUUGUUAUUAUGGUAAGUGCAAGACGAUAUUUCUUUUAAAUAUUUAUAUGAAUAUAUUUUAUUAUUAUUAUUUUAACAUAAUGAGGAGAUUUGUUUUCGUUUAUAGUAUAGAAAUUAAUUACAACAUUGAAGAAUUCGUUGUAUUAAUAAGAAACACAUUUUUGGGAGAGCCUCAUCAAUAAACAUAUCAUUUUAGAGUCAUGACAGGAAAAAAGACUCUAGGCACCAGAAGCUUUCGAUGGCCAAAAUAAAAAAUGAAGAUUAUUUAUAUUCAUCAUUUUGAAAGUGUCUUGAAACACUAUCCAAGAAAGCAAGCGAUAUUAUUGGAAAUAUGACAUUGAUGUGAGAAUAAUAACAGUUCCCCCUAUGAUAAUCCGUUCUUUUUUUUACAUCCUACAAUUCAUGUUGGUGUUGAUCGUUUAUUUAGUCCAUCAAACCACAAAAGUGAAAAUAGUCGCCUUAACGUUGUGAAUACUCAUAUUAGAAACAAGUUGAGCUUUACAAUUUAGAGAUCAUAGAAGAGACUUUAGCAAAUCAGACAACAGACGAGACUGACUAGCACAAAUGUUGGAACAAAUAAAGGUAUUUAAUGCAGAAGAUAUGGAAAAAUCUGAGAGUCGUGGAUGAGAUUGAUUUGAAUCUUGAAAAUGCUACUGCUUCUUUUACACAAGCUCCUCAAGAAAUUGCUAAUUAAGCAUACAAUGAUUCCUAAUACAUUUGAAUCCUCGUGCCAUGAAAUAAUUAUGUUUUUUUAAAAUGUUUAUGUUUUGAGUUUUAGUUUUGAUUUUUAUUUUAAAGUUGAUAGUGUUAUUUUAAUUAUUUAGUUGUGAUUUCCAUUUAUGAUAUGAAUUUAGUGAACCCAAAGGCUUGAAUUUUGUAUUUAUUUUGAGUUAAAUAUUUAAAUUUCUCAUGGUACAUUUUAGAAUUUUUACCAAAUAUGCUAAUGAUUCUAAUUAAAUGUUAUUAUAUUGAAUAUAUUUAAUGAUACAAUCAUUCUGAAGACCUUAGAUCUUGGCUUUGGACUAAUAGAUGCAAAUUAGUUUAGAGAGUUUAAAUUUAAUCACACCUAUACAAUGUGUUCAAAAUUAAUUCAAAUUUAUUCUUACGGGUUUGGGUUGUUUAGAUAAAUCUAACAAUGGUUUUUAGGAAAAAAAUAACAUUUUUAAUAUAGUUAAUCAGAGCUAGAAGGUGAAAUUUAAUUAGAGCAGACAAUGAGUUCUAUUUUCUCCCAAUAUCGUAGAAGAUCAGUCAGGUCAAAGAGUCUCUAGUAUUUGAACUAUAGAUUGAGCCAACUAAAAGGUAAAGUCACUUUCGUAAAUGACAAAUUUGGCCUAUUCUCUUAUGGACGAGCGUAGUUUUACAACCAUUACUAACAAAUUUGACCAUUUUUUAAGAGUAGCAUUAUUUUAAGUAAUUCACCCUACCUUAGAUGUGAUGUUAUUCUCUUCUGUUUAUGAAAGUGCAUCUUAGCCCCUUGCUUCUUCUUCCAUGUGGAUUUUUCAUAAACAAGAUUUCAAGAGAAGUUUCCUUUUAUUUGUGGCACAUGGUUUUUUGAAAUUCAUUUCAAGAAGGUUGAAGUUUAUCUACUAUGCCACAAACAAUAAUGUUAUCUCCAAUUUUAACCUCUUCAAACCUAAGCUCUCAAACAAUCAUGAUAAAGUCUUGAGCUUGGUCUACCAGUGAUUUGUUGUCUACCAUUUGGAAACGAAAAAAUCAACUAGCCGCAUAUUUUUUCGCUCAAGCCUCUUUGGUAUCAUACUUAAUCUGCAAUGCCUUCCAAAUAUUCUUUGCACUAGAGUAAGUUCUAUCAUAAUAUUCAUAAAAAUUAUCAGAUAGACAAUUAAGAAGAUAAUACCGACACUUAUAGGAAUCACCAUCGUACUUUUCCACUUUCUCUAGAUAAAAAAAAUUAUUUCAUCAUCAUUCAUAGAGGUGAUGUCUUCUUUAUUUGGAUUCUUCUCGGUCAAUAAAUAAGAAACAUUGAGAAGAAUUAAGUAGAAAAGCAGUUUACCCUUUCAUCUCUUGAAAUGGUUACCAUUGAACCGAAAUGGCUUAUUAACGUCUCCCAUCUUGACAUCCGCGGUUUUUUUCAAUUGUAACCAUGUUAAAUCUCCUUAAUUGUUAGUGAAAACUUAAAAUAUAACAAAAAUACAAGAUUAAAUUGAAUAUGAAAUGAAGAAAUCAAAUCUUUUCAGGUUAACAUACGGAUAUUUCGCUCUCUUUAAGGAUAUUCAAGCCUACUGCAACAAAUGUUUCACAUGUACAACAGUAGUCCUCUUGGGCUUCUCCCUUUCAGGAUACAACGGCCUUUACAAAGUAUAACUCAACAACUACGGACAAGAUUUGAGUCCAAAGCUCCACAAAUAAAGCACCUCCCUUCAAUUAAUAAGAACUCUUUUUUAACUAACUCUUUUACUCUAUAUUUUUUUCUUCUGUUUUAUAGGUUACAAACCAAAUGAAGACCACCACUAUUUAUAGUAUAAGAAGUCUUCCUAACAAUGAAUAGGAAGAUAAUGUGGUAGUAAAUAGUGAAGAUACUGAUCUUAGGAGUUACAUAUGUUGCAAAGAAUAAUGGUAAAUAAUGUGAGUGCAUUAUGCAACUAACGGGCAGAAUGUGGAGUUUCACAAAGAUACAAUAAUGUGCACCAAAUGAAAAUGUCAGAAACGGCUUAAUAAAUAUAAAUAAACCUCAUAAUGCAUUCUUCCAAGGAUAAAAUAAAAUAAACCAACCUUUUUUCCAAAUAUAAAACAAAAUAGACCAAAAGAAAUUUCUUGAGGUUUGAUUCGUAUUUGAACGAGUGAUUUUGGAUUGAAUAUAUCGUAUAUUUAGAGUGCUAUUGAUCCUUAGUAUUUGGGGAAGGAUUUAUAUACAUUUACAGAGUUUUGAGAUUAAAAUUGAAGGAGAAAAGUUGGAGUCACCUAGAAAAAAGGAUGAUGCGUCGGGCCAGCCAGCGCGCCCCAAAGAAAUCUCUUUCUAUAGGGCUCUGGGGUGACGCGCCAGACUGAGCGCCCCAAACAGUCCUACGAAGUUUGAGGGCUGGCGCCCUGUGCUUUUCAGAACGCCAGGGAUGUCAGUUCUUCCCAUUCUCCCGUACUAGUUUCUUAGUGAUAUACCUAUGUUUCCUAGUUGAUUCAGACAAUCUAAGGUACAUCUACACAUCACGAAAUCAUCCAUAAACAUGAGAUCAUGAGCCUUGAAUCCAUUAUCCAAUUCAAGAAAGUUAAGAUCAAAGUCAAGAGAAGUUAAGAGUCUCAUAUACCACACUCAUUCAUUCAUUAGGAAUAGAUAUAGAAAUUUCUACUAGACACUCCACUCAACUUACGGAUGAUCAUAUUCAGAAGAGAUCAAUUGAGAAUAACAUUCAAUACACUCAACGUUCCUUAACAAUAGUGUAGAACUUCAUUCAUCAUUCAUUUAUUUUUCAUUCAUGAGUGUGUGUGAGGGAGUAACUUUUCACCUUAAAUGUCAUCAUUCUUAAAUGUUAAUCAAGAAUAUGACUCCACUCAUAACACCAUUGCAAUCUUGACAUAAUCAUAAAGUACAUGGAAGUAAACACAUCCACCAUAACUAGAUCAAACAUCAAUAAAUUAACAUUCUAUAUCAUUUAAAAUCAAUCUCAACCCAUAUAUCCAAGAUACUACAAGAGAUAAGACAAUUGACAUAUUUCCAUAACCAAUUCCACCAUCUGCAUAAGCAAUUCAACAUGAAUUCAUUCAUAAUUCCUUUAAAGGUCAUGAUCCUCACAUCAUCAAUACAUAAAUAAAUUCACCACAAUUAUAUAUAACUAAUGGCAUGAAUUCAUAAUCUAACUUCAUGUAAACACAUACUAUUCAUUAUAUUUCCAUAAUUAACCAAUUCUCAAUCAAUUUCCAAGAUAAAGAAGUUUGGAGAAAGUGUGGGUUCCUGAAGAAAUUCAAUAGAAACUCACAUUGAAAUCAUCAAUUAGACCACAUAUUAUCAUUAUAAUGAGUUUGAAAAUGUUUUCCAAUCAAACCCAAAUUAGAUUAGAAAGUAGUGUUUUGACUAUUGAUGAACUUUGAAAUGCAUUUUUAUUUGACUCCUUGAAUGAAAUAUUUAUCAAGGAUUACGGAUUACCAUCACUUAUACUUGAAGAAUCCCACAAAAUAGAAUUGAAAACUUGAAGAAAUUGACCUUGGAAACUUGAAAACCCCAACUCUAAAGGAGGUUCCUUCAGGGAGACUUUCAGAGAAGAAAGGUUUCUAAGUUUUUGAGUUUUGAAAAUAAUAAUGUGUAUAAUAGGUUUUAAACACUUGUAAUACUCUUUAAAUAUGUUAAUAUAACUAAAAUAACCGUCCAUGUACAUUAAAAUAUUUUACCAAUUCACCCUUCAGUUGGCCGAGCUAAAGACAAAUAUGUAGGUGAUAUCUACAGUUCCCCAUCCACGGACCAUGGAUGGGUUGAUUCCACGUACUGGUGUUCCAUUAUUUUUGUCACAGUCUGUUCCUUUGAGGCCUUGAUCCACGCCAAUGGUUAAUGAGUUGUAGAUCAAUCUACUGGUCAUGAAUGUGUCUCGUGAACCAAGCUGUUUUGACAACUUUUUGGGUAGAGUUAGGGUCCUCCCCAAGGAUCCCUUCGGUGGUAAUUGGGGUGUUCUACCAAGAAGUUUAACCCCUAAGAACAUUUUUCUAAUUAUAAUAUUCACUUCAAUUUUUUACACUUAAACAACACUCUAAACUUCACUGACAAGGCCUUAGAACACACUUACUCAAAUGACUAGUUUCCCGACCCUAUAGUCAUUUUUUGUUGUUUGACCUCAAUUCUCUUUAAACUAAAAUUAAAAAUCCAUUAAUCAUCAUUUCUAUCAAGUUCUCAAAUUCAAAAUCACAUGUGAGGCUCGAUUUCUUCCUAUAUAAUUUUUAGGACCGUUACGAUGUUAGGGUAUGCUAACAGUUAGGGUUAUGGUUCCAUUUAAGAACAAAUUACAUGAAAUAAUUGUGUAUCUUGAGAUCUGUGAAAUUGUACAUUGUUCAUAAAUGUUAAAGAUAUUGUAUAUUCAGUAUAUACAUGUGUUUAUAAUCGUGCUUGACUUUCUUAUGUUACACUUAGUAGGAUAGCCGCGUGAUCUUACCACUAAUCUCAGGUUAUGUACUAAUACUAUACUUGCCCUUAUUUUUCUUGAGUACAUGUAAUCUUCAAAUGGCUAUUGACACACCUAACUUAAAAGACCGGUGAACGUUUGAAUUCAAGGGUGAUCCAAUCUUUUGGGCUGGCAUGAGUCCUUCUUUCGUCUCUGUCCACCUUUCAUACUUAGACUUGUUCUAGUUAGUAUUAAUUUAAUAAGCUUAACUUAUACUCCUUUUUUAAAUAUAAUUUAACAAUUUUUAACACAUAGUUUAAUUAUCAUUUUAAAUUUAAUGUUACAAAUCAAUAAAACAUUUGAAACAUAGCAACAUAACUAAACCAAAAUUCUGAACUUCCUGUCAUCUUUGAGAUCAGACUUUUGUUUUUCCUUAAUCCCUAAGUAUUUUAUUCUAUGGAAAUGGAUCAAAAUGUUCUUAAAUUAAGUGAAAUGCAUAAAUUUUAUUCCACCAUUAAUAUUUUGAUCAAAUCAUACCCAUUAUUACUUAAUUUCCCAAAAAUAUCCUUAUUUCUCACCAAACAUAACAAAAAAUGAAUAAGUACAUAUUGGACCUAGUGUUAGAACGAAUGAACAAGAAUGAGAAAAUCACAAGGAAUACAAAAUAAAACAUUCGUGGCUUAAAGGCACAUUAAUACGUCUCUUGAAGAUAGUUGGAGUCUCUCCCACAAGCAAUCCGAAGAAUAAAUAACAAUUCUAUUUUUGGGAUUCAACUAAGCCACAAAACAAGUAGCAUUAAAGAAUGUUUCUCUUCUAUUAUUGAAUUGGUGAUUUCACCUUUUGAUUAAUGUCUCACAAGUGUUUUCAUGGGAAAGUACUUUUAUUUGAAUUCUUAUCUUUUUUAACCAAAAGAAACUCUUUUUAUAGGAUAAACAUUAUGCAAGAUAAAGACUUUUGAUUAAUAUAAUUUAUUAUAGGUUCAUGAAUUUAAAAUAAAGUUAUCUUUCCAAAUUAAUAACGUAGAGCCUCUUACAAAAUCCUAUAACGUAGAAUUAAAACAAAGAAGAAUGUGACAACUCACAUUCAUUAUUUUGUUAUUUUCAAAACUUUUAAUGGAUGAAUUUUAUUUCAAAAUUAAUUGAGGCACUAAUUCUUACAAUCCCCCACUUGUUUCAAGAAAUUUCAUCUUUGAAAAAUCCAAAAAAAAUUUUGAGACAUUAAUCUACAUGCGUCAAUACUGGUGUCUUUUAGACUUGAACCAUUAUCUAGUGAAGGUUUUCUAAAUCAUUGACUACUUAUUAAACAAAUCUUGAAUUAAGUGGUUUAUUGAAUGAAGUUAGAAAAAAAUACUCCACGCAUAUCACUAUAUUCCGGUGAAAAUCAAAAUCCUUUGGCACCUUACGGCCAUGUGUCAUGAAUCCUCUUAGCCAGAAACCUUAAAAAUCUUAUUGAAGCGGUGUCCACUUCGCACUUAGUGCAGUGAAUUCAUCAAGAGUAACUUUGCAUACUUUGACCAAAUAGUCUAUGAACUUCAUUAAGAGAAAAUUAAUCUCAUCCUCCUUUACAACAAAGUAUCGGUAAAUCUAUCAAGAGUAUUCCUAUGCACUCCAAUCGAAAUCGAUUUAUAGACUUAUUAAGAGGAUAUAAUCUCAUCCUUCACUUCAUUAGGAAUAUGAUUAACAUUUAUCAAGAGUUUUCUUACUAACUCCAAACGAGAUCGGUCUUAUAAAUUUAUUAAAAGAAAAGAAUCUCAAUCAUGUACUUCUACUUAUUUCAUUUUAUUUUGAAAAUGAAAGUUUUAUUGAUGUGUGUCACAAUUGUAACUUUAUUUGUUUUUCCCUUUGAACCCAUGAUUACAUCAUCAGGUAGGGUUACGAUAAAGUACAAUCAGUUUCCAACAGGGUUUAUUCCCAUACCAUUAUAGAUUUCAACUACUAACUCUUUGCCUAACCCUUUACACAAAGGAUUCGCUAAAUUAAAAUCUAGACUUUACAUAUUGAAGUGAUAUCACACCUUCCUCCAAUAAUCUCCUCAUAUUAUUUUGUUUGAGACAAACUUGUCUUGACUUGCCAUUAUAGCAGUCACUUGAAGCCCAAAAUAUAGUAGCUUGAUUAUCACAAUAAAUAGUUAAAGGUGGUAUGACUUACUCCAUAAAGGAAUAUCAAUCAACAAAAAUUGUAGCCAUUCAGCUUCUUCUCCAGCAGAAGACAUAGCUAUAAAUUUUGACUCCAUGUUUGAAUGAGUAAUACAUGUCUGAUUCUUUGAUUUCCAAAAGAUCGUUGCUCCAGCCAAAGUGAAAAUCAAAGCAGUAAUAGAUUUAGAGUCAUUCGGUUCAGAAUUCCAAGUAGCACCGCUAUAGCCUUCAAGAACAACAAGAAAUGUAGAGUAAUAUAGGCCAACAUUAAUUGUACCCUCCAAGUAUCUUAAAACACGAAUUAAGGCAUUCCAGUGUUCAACUCCAGGAUUACUAGUAAACUUGCUCAAAGUUCCUACUGUGUAACCAAUAUCAGGUUCGGUACAUAAGACUCCCAACAAUCUCAGAAUAUAUAAGCUGACCAAGAAUAUCACUAGAGUUCCGCAUAAGUUUGAUGCUAGGAUCAAAUGGUGUAGGAGCAGGUUUGACGUCAAAGUGACCAAACCUUUUUAGAAUUUUCCCAAUAUAACUUGAUUGAGUAAGAAUCAAGACAUUCGCCGAUCUCAUGAUUUUAAUGCCCAACAUUACAUAAACUUCUCCAAGAUCUUUCUUUUCAAAUUGAGAAGCUAUAAAUGAUUUUGUUUCUUUGACUCUUUCAAUAUCAGUUCCAAAGAUCAACAUAUCAUCUACAUAGAGACAUAUUAUAACACCUUUUUCUUCUUAAAUUUACUAAAUAUACAAAUAUCGCCACCAUUAAUUAAAUAGCCAUUAGAAAUUAUUACUCUUCUUAAUUUCUCAUUCCGUUGUUUUAGAGCUUGUUUGAUUCCAUAAAGAGAUCUAAGAAGCUUACAAACUUUGUGUUCUUGACGAGGAACGACAAAACAUUCUGGUUGUUUCACGUAAACCUCUUAAUCUAGAUCUCCAUUCAGAAAUGAAAUCUUCACAUCCAUUUGAUGUAUUACCAUACUAUGAAUUACGGUUAAAGCAAUUAAGAGUCGAAUAGAAGUCAAUUGGCUACAGGUGCAAAGGUAUCAAAAUAAUCAAUAUCUUUUGAUAUACCGUUAUUUCACGGUAUUUUUAAUGCUUUUUCCUUAUGUUUAGUGUGUGUCCAAAAGCCUUUUUGAAUUAAUUUUUAUGAAAGUUUCUCUUUAUUUGCACGAAAUCUGUCUAAAGAUGAAUGCAAAAGUUUUUUAGUAAGAAAUGCUAAAAAGUAUCACCUACGGAGCUUUUGACAGUCCAUCGUGCCUGUGACGAUCCGUAGGUGGCAUCGUAGUGAAGCUGCUGAAGGAAGAUGGGGAAGUCUGUGUUAUGCCUCGUAUUUUAUACGUAGUGCGCGUCAUGAACUAGUAGAUGUAAGUCCGGGAAAUGAGAUUUUAUUUUAAGUUCCAAGUGAUUAAAGAAAUAUUAGGCAAGGAUGUUAAUUCCAAAAGUGGUAUUAAGUAUGAUUUGGCUAAUGUAACUGCCAUUAACUUUAAGUGAGAGAUUAAUUAGUGGCUGAUUAGGAUUAAAUUAAUCUAGUGGGCCCCACCACUCAAGGCAAAUUAAAAGGAAUCAGAUUAGGAGCUGGCCUUAGUGGGACACGUGUAGAGGGGGUUUGCCUCCACUUCAUAUUAUAAAUGGGUGGUGAAAUGCAUUGCAACAUACCAUCUUCUUUUCCACUUGGCUUAGGCAGCCAUGGAAAUGGAGAAAACCAACCAUGUAACUCUUGGCCAGCAGUUACAAAGAAUUUGGUCAGUAAUCUCUUUGCUUGGUGUGUUAAUUCCUUAGAAUACCUUUGGUAAUUAGCCAUAAUGUUAAGAAGGGGGCGUAACCAAUAGCUUAGGAAGUUUUUUUUAGUUAUUGAAUGUGCUAAGUAUGAACGGAAACCAUAAUCGAAUUAUUAGUGGUGUCGUGUUAGUGUUUGGGCUGUUUUGAUUAAAGCAAACUGCGGGAAAUUUUGUUUUGGUGUUAUGUAUAUGUUAAUGUGAUUAUGGGUAUAUACUCCAAAGGAUGAAUACGAUAAGGUAGAUGUGUUUGCGAAUUAUAAAACAUGUUAUCGCUCGGUGUGUCGUUGCUUCGUUACUAUAGUUGCCGAGACGGAACUGUUUUGGGGGGGGGGGUCUGUUUAAUAUGAUUCGUUGGGAUAUAUGUGUUAUUGGUAUUGUUGUGAAUAAUUUGGGUUGUUGUCGGAUUGGGACGAAGUAAGGAAAACAGGGGAAGUGCUGCCAGAUUUUUGUUAGAUCAUUAACUAGCUUACAUAAGUAGUAAAGCGCGACGUUUCUCUGAUUGCGGCACGAUUGUAGCUUGUUAUUGAUUAAUAGCUUGAGCAAUAAAUAUUGGACGUGAGGCUCGGCUAUACGGUAUGUAAAGCUAUCUUUACUUUCUUUGGUUGGCACGACUUUUAAAAAUGAGAGAAUAACGGACAGGUUUGAUACUUACUUCUAGAGCGUCUAGGUGACAUAUAUUCUUGCCUCCACAACUAUUCCUCUAUAUAUCGGCCAUGUCUAAGGCUAUGAUGAUUUCUCAUAUCUAUGGUAGUGCUUGUUAGAGUCAUUGAGAUUUUAUGUUUCCAUAUCGUAUUAAAGGUUCAAAUACUUGAUACAACGUUAAUAUUUGGUAAUACUCCUUGCUGGUUCACGUUGAUUGUUCUAUUGAGUUAUAAGAAAUGAUUUUAAUUGCAUAUGGUUGGUCAGAAUAUUCUGCUCGUGCAUAGAGUCAUUUAUCAUUUCACCGAGUCCCGAGUCGGGUAAUGUUCGUACGGAGUUUCUAGCAUAUGUCACCGAGUCCCUCACUAGAGGGCAGGGUAUGUAUUUUAUAUAUAUGAUUGGUGAUGAGGAUGGUUAUGAUGAUGAUGAUGACGGAGAUGAUGUGAUGACUAUUUCACCGAGUCCCUCACUAGACGGCCGGGUACAUAUGAUGUAUAUAUAUGAUGAUUAUUUUGCCGAGUCCAUUACUAGGGAAGCUAGGCACCUUAUAUGUUAAAGAUAUGCAUGAUUUUCACUUAAAAGGUACAUGUGUUGCGAUAUCUUGUUUCGAAUUUUCAUGUUGGUAUCCUGUCAUCUUUCCCUUAUGCUUUACAUACUCAGUACAUUGUCCAUACUGACCCCCUUUCCUCGGGGGGCUGCGUUUCAUGCCCGCAAGUGUAGACGCACAGUUCGGUGAUCCUCCCGCCUAGGAUAUCUACUCUGCUGAUUGGGAGAGCUCCACUGUUUCGGAGCCCAGUCAUUUUGGUACGUAACUUUUUGUGUAGUCUUUUGCUUGUCUAUGGGUAUGGCGGGGCCCUGUCCCGUCGAGUUUCACUGCUAUCCUCUUAGAGGUCUGUAGACAUUAUGUGGGUUGCAAUAUGUUUUGGAUAACAGGAAGCUACAGGACAUUUAGGAUGUCAUCCUUCCUUCUUAUUCUAGAUCGUGCGAUAGAGCUAUAUAAAUAGGAUAAUCCCUAUCUAACGAAGUCUAUACUGUCGAACGCUCCUGCCAUUUUGCUUCAAAUGGAAGAAUCUAUCGACUCUAGCUCGCUUCAUCUCUGGAGGCAGGAAGUGGCCCUGGAAAGCCUCCACAAAUUCAUCCCAUACCGUUGGAGGAGCACCCUCACCCCUAGAUAACUUCCAAGACUCAUACCAAUUAAUAGCUACAUCCCGCAAAUGAUACGUAGCCAACUCAACAGACUAGAUCUCCGAAGCCUUGAGUAUCCUCAAUGUACGCUGCAUCUAACGAAUAAACUCUUGCGGAUCAUCCUGCGGCCUUGACCCAAAGAACUCUGGAGGAUUACAACUUAAGAAGUCACGAGCCCUUAAGCUAUCAGAUCUGUUCGCAUGAUCAACUCCUAGUCCAUCCCUGCGAGCCUGACCUGCCACUAAUCUAGUCAGCAACUGAAUCGCAUCUCUCAUGGCCCUAUCCUCCACCCCUGUCUGAGGAGCUGGAGGUUCAGGUGCUGGGGCCUCGGGGGCUGGUGGUGUCCCACGAACUGGAGCUGCUGCUGCUCUAAGCUCCUUUGGCGGUGGCAGUGUAGCAGAGCUCUCCGACUGGAGCAUAAUACUAGACAUAGACUGGGCACGGGCCCUAGUAACUCUCCGGGUCUGACUAGUACCUUCUACUACCGAUUUGCCCUUCUGGGCGGCUGUCGCUUUCUUUGGAGGCAUAGCUGAAAACACACGGAUUCGUUAGAGAGGGAUUAUCCUGUUAAUAUAGCUCUAUCGCACGAUCUAGAAUAAGAAGAAAGAAUGACAUCCUAAAUGUCAUGUAGCUUCCUGUUUAUAAAUGUGGUGCACAACCCACCGAUAAAGAAGACUCUACUAGACACGGUCUAUAGACACUUUCGAGGAAGAACCGCUCUAAUACCACUCUUUGUGACGACCCAACCCUAUGGGCCGUGACUAGUGCGCGUUUUGGACAUCCACAUAAAAACAUGCUAAGUAUAACCAACUGAAACUAAGACAAUAUGGAAUUUAAUCAAAUCAAGCCAACCCCAACGUCAUAUAUAUAUAAAGAGGACCUGUCUCAUAAGGAGUCAUAACCAUUCAACCGUAACAACAUACGCGAGCCGAAAAUGCCGCCACUAUCCAAAGCAUAAUAACAUACGUAAGCCGACAAGGCUGCUACUACACAAUACACAAUGAUGUACGCAGCCGACUAGGCUGCCCCUGUACAAGAGGACAUCCCAAACAUAUCAUGUCCAGACCAUUAUCCAAAACAUAUAUAUACACCCCACAUAAUGUCCACAAACCUCUAAGAGUACACUAGUGAAACUCGAUGGGACAGGGCCCCGCCAUACCCAUAGACGAGCAAAAGACUACACAAAAAGUUAUGUACCAAAACGACUGGGCUCUGGAACAGUGGAGCUCUUCCAAUCAGCAUAGUAGAUAUCCUAGGUGGGAGGAUCACCGAACUGUGCGUCUACAUCUGCGGGCAUGAAACGCAGCCCCCCGAGGAAAGGGGGUCAGUACGGACAAUGUACUGAGUAUGUAAAGCAUAAUGUAAAGAUGACAGGAUACCAGUAUGGCAAGUCGAAAAAAAAUAUUGCUACACAUGUACCCUUUUAAGUGAAAAUCAUGCAUAUCUUUAACAUAUAAGGUGCCCAGCUUCCUUAGUAAGGGGCUCGACAAAAUAAUCAUCACCUCAUCUCCGUCAUCAUCAUCAUCAUAACCAUCCUCAUCACCAAUCAUAUAUAUAAUAUAUAUACCCGGCCCUCUAGUGAGGGACUCAGUGACAUAUGCAAGAAAUUCCGCACGAACAUUACCCGGCCCGGGACUCGGUGAAAUGAUAAAUGACUCUAUACAGGAGCAGAAUAUUAUGAGCAACCACAUGCAAUUAAAAUCAUUUCUUAUAACUCAAUAGAACAAUCAACGUGAACCAGCAAGGAGUACCAAAGAUUAACGUUUUAUCAAGAUUAUGAACCUUUAAUACGAUAUGGAAACGUAAAAUCUCAAUGACUCUAAGAAGCACUACCAUAGAUAUGAGAAAUCAUCAUAGCUUUAGACAUAGCCUAUAUAUAGAGGAAUAAUUGUGGAAGCAAGAAUAUACGUCACCUAGACGCUCUAGAGGUAAGUAUCAAACAUGUCCGUUAUUCCCUUAUUUUUAAAAGUCAUGCCAAACAAAGAAAGAAGGGACAGCGUUACAUACCGUAUAGUCUAGCCGAACGUCCAAUAUUUACUGCUCAAGCUAUUAAUCUAUAACAAGAAACAAUCGUGCCGCAAUUAGAUAAACGUCGCGCUAUACUAUCUUGUAAGCAAGCUAAUAAUCUAACGAAAAUCCGGCAGCACUUCCCCUAUUUUCCUUACUUUGUCCCAAUCCGACAACAACCCAAAUUAUCCACAGCAAUACCAAUAACACAUAUAACCCAACGAAUCAUAUUAAACAUCCCCCUCCCCAAAACAGUUCCGUCUCGACAACCAUAGCAGCGAAGCAACGACACACCGAGCGAUAACUCGUUUUAUAAUUCGCAACACAUCUGCCUUAUCGUAUUCAUUCUUUGGAGUAUAUACUCAUAAUCACAUUUAACAUAUACAAAGUGCCAACACAGAAUUUUCCCGCAGUUUGCUUUAAUCAAAACAGCCCAAGCACCAACACGACACCACUAAUAAUCCGAUUAUGGUUUCCGUUCAUACUUAGAACAUUCAAUAACUAAAACAAACUUCCUAAGCUACUGGUCACGCCCCCAUCUUAGUAUUAAUGGAUAAUUAACAAGUUAUUCUAAAGAAUUAACACAUUAAGCAAGGAGAUUACUAACCAAAUUAUUUGCAGCUGCUGGCCAAGAGUUCCAGGGUUGGUUUCUCCAUUUCCAUGGCUGCCUAAGCCAAGUGGUGAAGAAGAUGAUAUGCAGCAAUGCAUUUCACCACUUUAUUUAGAAUGGAGUGGAUUUCUCAACCUCAUUUAUAAUAUGAAGUGGAGACAGCCCCCCUUUACACGUGUCCACUAAGGCCAGCUCCCAAUCUGAUCCCUUUUUAAUUUUUGCCUUGACUGGUGGGGCCCACUAGAUUAAAUUAAUCCUUAUCAGCCACUAAUUAUGAGUGGUGGGGCCCACUAGAUUAAAUUAAUCCUAAUGAGCCACUAAUUAAUUCCUCACUUAAAGUUAAUGGAACUUACAUUAGCCAAAUCAUACUUAAUAUCACUUUUGGAAUUAACAUCCUUGCCUAAUAUUUCUUUAAUCACUUGGAACUUGAAAUAAAAUCUCAUUCCACGGACUUACGUCUACUAGAUCAUGAUGCGCACUACGUAUAAAAAAUGCGAGGCAUAACACACGGCCCCCAGAAUACUACAGAGGCUAUGGUAAUAUAGCAGACUCCGAUGGGCCACUUGUCUUGCCCCCUCAACCAUCAAGCCACACCUUUGUGGUAACUAGUAGCCUGAUGCAAAUGCUCACUGCCAGAGGUUUGUUUUUAGGGAUACCUUCUGAGGAUCCAAAUGCCCACAUAGCUAAGUAUGGGCAGUGUGUAAAAGUUGUGUAGGGUGGCCUGACUUGGACUUGGAUGUAAUAGGGCUAAGAGUGUUUCCUCUCUCACUGACGGGAGAGGCUGCUAUUUGGUUCACUGAGCUCCCUUAUAACUGAAUUUUUACUUGGAACCAACUAAGGGAUGUUUUCAUAGCACGCUACUACCCGGUCUCCAAGAAACUGAACCACAAAGACAGAGUGAACAACUUUGUGGCACUACCAGGAGAGUCAGUUAAUAGUUCUUGGGAUAGAUUCACCUCAUUUUUUAGAAGCGUCCCAAAUCACCGUAUAGAUGAUGAGUCACUGAAGAAAUACUUCUAUCGGGGACAGGAUGAUAAUAAUAAAGCGGUGUUGGAUACUAUAGUAGGUGGUUCUUUUGGGAGUGUCCUUAUGCUGAGAUUGCCGAAAAGUUAGAUAAAAUCUCUCGAAACAAUAAAGCUUGGAGUACUAGACAAUCAGAUACUGGGAGAAAUACCUUCGCAGUACAAUCCACUCACAACCCAGCCACAGAUGAGAUUCAUGAAGAAAUGGCUCAGAUGAGAACUGAGCUUGGGUUGGUAUUAAAACAUAUCACUGGGGUGCGAAAAAGAUAAAUGCAGUUAACUACUUGUCUAUACCACCACCCACAAAUGUUGAAUGCUAUUAUGCGGAGGAUUUCUAUGCGGUAAACGAGUAGACGGGGGGUUUCCAACUGAGUGCCCAAGGCUCAAAUCAGGAGAAUUGGCGCUAAAGUCAAGGAAACCAAGGUCGGAUAUAUGGUAACUAUAACCAUGAGGGUCAUUAUGUCCGAGAUGGAAACUAUAACCGCGACAACAACUUCAACAGGGGUAACUAUGGUAACAGAAAUAAUAGGAAUGGGCUCUAUGUCCCUCCUCAAAAUCAUGAAGUUACUCCUAGGGAUAGUGGAGGUAGUAUGGCGCGAGUUGAGGAUAUGUUGCACAAGAUGAUGAGGAGGUUCAAUGCUAAUGAUGAGCACCUUAAAGAGAGUUAACAAGUGAUUUAGCGGGUAUUGGGCAUAAAGUCGAUACACAUGCAAUAUCGAUUAAGAAGAUCGAGUUGCAAAUGGACCAAUUAUCUACGACUGUGAACACAUGGCAACUGGGCACUCUUCCUAGAAAUACAGUCCAAAAUCGAAAAAAUGAUGCACACUGUAUGACAAUCAUUACUCAGGGUGGUAAGAAAACCAUUGACCCACCUAUGCCGUUUAAUGAGGAAAUGGUGAGAAAGGGUAAUGAUAAGGUGGUAGAGGGUAGUGGUGAAGUAGAAGAUAGCACUGGAAAAGAUGCUGAAGUACCUAUAAAGGUAAUUCCCAUGCCUAGACCACCACCCCCUUUCCUCAAAGAUUAGUGAAAAAGACUGAGGAAGGUAAAUAUCAGCGUUUUAUAAAAAUGUUGAAGCGGCUUUCUAUCAAUGUCUCUUUGGUAGAAGCUCUAGCACAAAUGCCCGGUUAUGCCAAGAUUAUGAAAGAUGUUAUUACAAAGAAAAGAUCGGACACUUUCAAGGAUGAUUAUAGAAUGCAACAUUGUAGUGCUAUUGUUACAAGAUCUCUCGUACAAAAGAAAGAAGAUCUUGGUGCAUUCACUAUUCCUUGUAUAAUCGGUUCAUUACAUUUUGCGAAAGCAUUAUGUGAUAUGGGGCAAGCAUAAAUCUCCUGCCCCUCUCUACUUACAAGAAGCUGGGUUUGGGUGACCCAAAGCCCACUGCGAUAAGGCUACUGAUGGCCGAUCGAACAGUGAAAAGGCUUAUAGGGAUACUCCACGAUGUGCUAGUAAAAGUGGAGUCGUUCAUAUUUCCAACAGAUUUUGUUAUCAUUGAUUGUGAAGUCGAUUUUGUAGGUCCAUGAGGCAGAGUGGUGAGCUCCAAUCAGUAUCUGCUAUACUCUACAAAGAAAAGAUGAAGAAGGAUUAUGACCUAAAAAGUGGAAAACAAGAGUUUAUGGUUGGGGUUGUGUUGACUUACGGGCAAGCUCAAGUCCAAAUGGACUGGCACUUACUUGAUUACCCAAUUAUUCCCUCAUGGAGCAGUUGAGUUAGAAAUCAAGGAGGGAGUGAGGUUUAAAUGGAGAAUGAAUAAAACUCUAUUUUGGGCAUACUUAAUCGGCAAAUAAAGUGAUCGAGGCAUACCAUCUUGACGAAGGAUGAGUGAUCAAGUGUCCUCAGUCAUGCCGCGAUGUUAAAUCAGGCGCUCGUUGGGAGGCAACCCAACACUUAUAGUAUUUAUUUCUAGUAAUGAUAGCAUUUUCUACUAAUGGUUUUUAAAUUUGUAGGCACAUCACCAGGAAAUUCUGCAGAAAAUAACUCUGCAGCAAAAACUGAUGGACCCAUCGAUGACCCGUCACAAACGUGACGGACCAUCACAUGAAUCCAUCGUGCAGGUAUGUCUUUCAGUUAUUUUAAAAACUAGGGCACACGCGAUGGAACAAAUGACAGAGCGUCGCAAUUGCGAUGGAGCGUCAUCGGGAAUCAUCGCGUCAUUAAUGAGCUUACCCGACCCGACCCGGUUGGGAACUUUUAAAAAAUUUCAACCUAUAAAACCCCCCACCCCUUCAUUUGAAAGGUUUUUCCCUCUUUCUCCCAUUCCCUCCCUCUUAAAAUUCCCACUUCCUACCUCUCUUUCAACCGAUCAUUUCCCCAAAUUCCCCAAUUCCUAAAAUCCACUCUUUACUAAGCGGAGUCUGCUGUUGUUGUUCUCUUCCUUAUAACUAAGAACUUUCCUCGCUUGUUUUUCUCAAAUUCUCAUGUAUGUGUCUCUGAUUUCUACCCAUUUACAUUGCAUUUUUGUUUAUCAAUUAGUAUUAGCCUAUUUCUUAUUGAUGGUUCAUUCUUUAAUACAAAUUAUGUCUGACCUAGGUUGAGAAUCCUCAAAAUUGCCUUGUUAAAACACUAGAAAUAGAUGCUUUAGCAUUACUAGUUUACUAGGUAUUUGGGUUAGACACAUGUAGGUUAAACACUAAAAAUUCCAUUUGGGUCAUAGUGGAUGAUUGUGGCAUCCCUAAAUCUAUCACUGAAUGACAAAAUGAGACUCCGAUAACAGACCGUCGUACCCACGAUGGACCGUCAUAGGGUCCGUCCAACAUCCCUAACACCCCACUGUCCAAUUUUCUCUAAGUGUCCACCAACGGACACAUGUGAUGGACCAUCGUUCCCACGAUGGUCCAUCCUGCACAACCGUUCUGGUUAUAAGAGACCCUAUUCCUAAGGGUCUCUCACUUUUUCUAAGUAUCCUACAAUGGACACAUGCGACGGAUCGUCAUUCCCACGAUGGUCCGUCAUGCACAACCGUUCUGGUUGUCAGAGACCCUACUCCUAAGGGUCUCUCACUUUUUUUAAGUGUCCUUGUACAGACAUAUACGCCGGACCGUCAUACCCUCGACGGUCCAUCCUGCACAAUCGUUCUGGUUGUCAGAGACCCUGUUCAUAAGGGUCCCAACUUUUUCCAAGUGUCCUCUUAGGGACAUAUACUACGGACCAUCAUACCCUCGACGGUCCAUCCUACAUAACCGUCAUGACGGUCAGAGACCCCUCUCCUAAGGGUCUCCAACUUUUUCUUAGUGUCCUCUUACAAAUAUCUACGACGGACCGUCAUACCCUCGACCAUCCGUCCUGCACAAAUUGUCAUUACGGUCAAAGACCCCUCUCUAAGGGUCCCCAUACAUGUUCUAAGUGUUCCGUGACGGACAUCGAUGACGGACCGUCAUCAUCACGACGGUGCGUCCUGCUUAUCUAUCAUAACUGUCAGAGACUUUCCUUCAGGGUCUUCUUAUAAACAUAGUUUUAAGUAAGACAUGACGGACCCCAUGACGGUCCGUCGUACUCACGAUGAACCGUCACCUGGUCCGUCGUGUUUCACUGUUACUAUAGAAAAGUCAAUACAACUUAGCUCUUAUAUUUAUUUUGUUUUGUUUUUGCUCGUCUUGUUCGCUCCUUCUUGUACUAAUAUUGAUUCUUUACAGAAACUAUCUACUAUGGCACCAAAACAAGAUCGAGUUUAUGCACGUAGGUGAUCAAAGUUUGUCGCCCCAUCUUCCCGCCUGGUCAUUGGCUCUGAUGAUGAGCGUGACCCCGAGUACGUGCCCGCAAGCACUUCCACUCCAUCCCGAGAUGCCCGUGCUGCUAGAGCCACAUCCAAAAAGGUGGCGUCUAACGUAGUCACUGACUCUCAGUCUGAUGAGGAGUGCACACUGAUCGACACACCUUCUGGGUCAGCUACUCAUAAAGAAGGAGCGUCUGGCUCAUUAGGAGUUUCGUAAUCGGAGGAAGCCUGCGGAUCUACUGAAGUCCCUGCACCCGCCAUAGCUGCACAGUCUUCCUCGUUUGAUGAGGCUGACAGUUGUGAAUCCACUCCCGGUUCACCAACUCGUGCUCUCACCCCAGUUGCCGAUCAGCCCAACCGGUGGUGUGUCGACGGGCAAUAUCAAGUUUAUUCAGACACAAAGUUUCUGAAUGAGAAAGGAGUCAUGACACGGACCAUUACAUUGGAGAGGCGGGUCCUUAUGGGAAGUCUCCCUACUAUGCCAGAGAUCCACAAUCUCUUAACCAGACACCGACUAGCACAUUGAUCAGCUCAAGACCCUGCUCGGCACUAUUGAGAUCGGCCUCAUCAGGGUUGAGGCAAAUGAGUUGGCUCCAUGCAGGGGGCCCCGUCCAGAGUUGCCUCCACUUGGUUACAAUCUGACUGAUACGGUAGCACAGGAUCGCACGGCUACGCAAGCUGCUUCUAAAACCACUGAAACUACCCCGGUCGAGUCUAUCCCAGGUAGUAGCAUUGCCCCGAGCUCCUCUCGCUGAACCCCUUUCCCUGCUUUGGCCCUGCUUUCUAAGGUCUAGAAAUUAGAGGCACAGAUGGCUACACUUCUGCAUCACAUCUAGCCUUGGAUGUAGAGGACUAUUGCUGAGGUAGAAGAGCGCUUGGAGCGGAGAAUGGUCCUGCACACAGAGCGGAAGAUCGCUGAGGUUCAUCAGCGCUUGGACGCUUUUGAGUUGAGGGUGCUAGCCGGGACAGCCCCUCAGGUGGAUGUGUCAACCCUUCAGGCUGCGGUCAAGAGUCUUCGUGCAGAUAUUGAUAUGAUUCUAGAGUCUAGGGUGCCUGAGUAUGAGGCCCUUCUAUAGAGCCUAUUGAGGACACAGUGAUGGCGGCUUUAUUCGCCAGUUCUGAGAUUCCACCACCUCCCCUCCAGAGAAUGCCAAGAGGCAUAGGGGUCGAGACGAGGAUGAGGCUAGAGCACGGUAGAUGGAGGGCUUUGAGAUGGAGGCUGCGAGGAGAGCCUCGCUUGCUGAUGAGGAGUCGCGUUGGAUGAGGGCUGUAGAGGUAGCUGCUGGGCAUCUAGCUCCAGAAAUGUGAAAAUAGCGGGAGGCACUGCUGAUAGUGAUGUUGCUGAUGAGGACACUACUGAGGGUGUCCAGAUUACAGAGGUAGUGGGUUCCGGGCGACCGAACCCACCAGCUUGCUGAUUGUCGGCGCUUUGCGCCCCAGGUUUGCUUCACCUACCACUUUCGUAUUUCAAUUUUUGUAUGCAUUGGGGACAAUUGCAUGUAUUUUUUUUUGGUGGUGGGUUAAAUUAAAAGUGAGUGCUAGGGUGAAGUCUGAGUAGCCCAAUUCACUAUCCUCUUUUGGGGUUUUCUUGCCUGUGAUCUUUUUCCCCAAGAGACUGAUUAUUUUUACUGUUGAACCGGCAUGUCUAUAUCUUGUGUACAUAGUUUAACUCUGAAGCAUGAUGGAUAAAAUGAUAUCCUAAUGAAAUGAAAAUGAUGCAUGACUAGGCAUAGUAAUUGAUAAAUGUGUGGCUCUAAGAAUGACAUAGAGAUACACCACUACAUGACCCUAAGUCUAAAAUUCAAACUAGGUGUCUGAUAAUCUGGUAGAGUUAUGAGAUGUCAAGUGAGUGUGAGGAAGAUUUGAAUAGUCCACUAUUUGUACUGAGCUAGAACUUGCCUGGUUAGUCCUGCUAAAAGUAAGCUAUAAUAGACAAUUAAAAAAGGAUCAUAGGCCCUUGUUCAAUAUAGCCCAUUUUUAGCCUAAAUAAAAAAAACAAAUGAAUUUAAUCCUUCUUUGACCCAAAUGAUUUGAGCUUAAACUAGACCUUUCUUUUUCACCCCAAUUGAUCUUUUAUGGGAAUAAUGUGUUGGCCCUGGUCCCUCCUUGGACAUGUGCACCUUAGCUUAUGCCAAAAGCAUAAGUUGAGAGUGGCUAAUGCCGUAAAUACCCUCUUUAUGGCCCAGCCCAACUUUGGGUAUUGUGUACUUUGACUAAUGGCAAAGCCUCUAUUAUCAGGAAUGCUCUGGAAAGUGGAGUUGAAAGAACAAAGAGAGAGAAAGAGCAAAAGUAAAGUGACUCAAGAACCAGUUGAAAGAAAAGUGAAAUUAAAAAAACAUAAAAAAAUAAAAAAAUAUAAUAAAUACAAGCAAGAAAAUAGGAGAGUCACUUACACAAAUGAAGAAAGAAGGGAAAAUAGCAAGGUUAAAGGAUAUGAGAAACUGAGCGAAAUAAAAUUAUAAAAAGUAGUAUGUUCAGCCGAUAUGUCAAGGAGGGCAAAAAGUCACUAAAGUAUACCUAAAUAUACCCUACCUGACCAUGAGCCUAUGUUACAAGCUAAAAAAGUCCUAUAGUGAUGUUAAAAGUUGUAUAGAGAACUUAAAGUAGUGAAAAUAAGGGCAAACUUAUGGAAAUAUGUAUGAUUGAGUUGUGAAUCUGUUCUGAGAGUCAGUGUUGAAAAGUAAUCCUUAUACUCAAACUAAAAUCAUUGUGUGAAAAAUGAGGAUAUUGUUUUGAAGUGAGGUACUAGUUGCAAUACCGAAAAUAUUAGCACCUCGGCGAGAAAUUGAAGAGGAUAGGUGUUAGUGUGUGGUGAGUUUGUGUCAUGGUCUGAUUCCACAUAAUUCAAGCCUAAUAGUGAUAGCAUGCAUAAAUAUGAUGAGAAUGAUCAGGAUUGAUAGCCAAAUGAUUGCGACAGAUAAGACAUGGAUACUAUUUACAAAGAUUUUGUAAUGAGUCAUAGUGCGUCGCUUGAGGACAAGCAACAAAUUUAAGUUGAGGGUGUUGAUAUACCGUGGUUUCACGGUAUUUUUAAUGCUUUUUCCUUAAGUUUAGUGUGUGUCCAAAAGCCUUUUUGUAUUAAUUUUUAUGUAAGUUUCUCUUUAUUUGCAGGAAAUCCGUCUAAAGAUGAAUGCGAAAGUUUUUGAGUAAGCAAUGCAGAAAAGUAUCACCUACGGAGCUUUUGACAGUCUGUCGUGCCUGUGACAAUCCCUAGGUGGCAUCAUAGUGAAGCUGCUGAAGGAAGAUGGGGAAGUCUUUGUUAUGCCUCGUAUUUAAUACGUAGUGCGCGUCAUGAACUAGUAGAUGUAAGUCCGGGGAAUCAGAUUUUAUUUUAAGUUCCAAGUGAUUAAAGAAAGAUUAGGCAAGGAUGUUAAUUCAAAUUUGGUAUUAAGUAUGAUUUGGCUAAUGUAAGGGCCAUUAAUUUUAAGUGAGAGAUUAAUUAGUGGCUGAUUAGGAUUAAAUUAAUCUAGUGGGCCCCACCACUCAAGGAAAAUUAAAAGGAAUCAGAUUAGGAGAUGGCCUUAGUGGGACACGUGUAGAGGGGGGUUGCCUCCACUUCAUAUUAUAAAUGGGUGGUGAAAUGCAUUGCAACAUACCAUCUUCUUCACCACUUGGCUUAGGCAGCCAUGGAAAUGGAGAAAACCAACCAUGCAACUCUUGGCCAGCAGUUGCAAAGAAAUUGGUUAGUAAUCUCUUUUCUUGGUGUGUUAAUUCCUUUGAAUACCUUUGUUAAUUAACCAUUAAUGUUUAAGAAGGAGGUGUGACCAGUAGCUUUGGAAGUUUAUUUUAGUUACUGAAUGUGCUAAGUAUGAACGGAAACCAGAAUCGGAUUAUUAGUGCUGUCGUGUUAGUGUUUGGGCUAUUUUUAUUAAAGCAAACUGCGGGACAUUUUGUUUUGGCGUUAUGCAUAUGUUAAUGUGAUUAUGGGUAUAUACUCCAAAGGAUGAAUACGAUAAGGUAGAUGUGUUGCAAAUUAUAAAACAAGUUCUCGCUCGGUGUGUCGUUGCUUCAUUACUAUGGUUGCCGAGACGGAACUGUUUUGGGGGGGGGGCGCUUUUUAAUAUGAUUCGUUGGGAUAUAUGUGUUAUUGGUAUUGCUAUGGAUAAUUUGGGUUGUUGUCGGAUUGGGACGAAGUAAGGAAAAUAGGGGCAGUGCUACAGGAUUUUCGUUAGAUUAUUAGCUCACUUACAAUAGGUAGUAAAGCGCGACGUUUAUCUAAUUGCGGCACGAUUGUUGCUUGUUAUAGAUUAAUAGCUUGAGCAGUAAAUAUUUGACGUGCGGCUCGACUAUACUGUAUGUAACACUAUCCUUUCUUUCUUUAUUUGGCAUGACUUUUAAGAAUGAGCGAAUAAUGGACAGGUUUAAUACUUACUUCUAGAUCGUCUAGGUGACAUAUAUUCUUGGUUCCACAACUAUUCCUCUAUAUAUCGGCCAUGUCUAAGGCUAUGAUGAUUUCUUAUAUCUAUGGUAGUGCUUCUUAGAGUCAUUGAGAUUUUACGUUUCCAUAUCGUAUUAAAGGUUCAUAAUCUUGAUAAAACGUUAAUUUUUGGUAAUACUCCUUGCUGGUUCACGUUGAUUGUUCUAUUGAGUUAUAAGAAAUGAUUUGUCAUUUAUCAUUUCACCGAAUCCCGGGCCUGGUAAUGUUCGUGCGGAGUUUCUUGCAUAUGUCACCGAGUCCCUCACUAGAGGGCCGGGUAUGUAUAUUAUAUAUAUGAUUGGUGAUGAGGAUGCUUAUGAUGAUGAUGAUGACGAAGAUGACGUGAUGAUUAUUUUGCCAAGUCCCUUACUAGGGAAUCUGGGCACCUUAUAUGUUAAAGAUAUGCAUGAUUUUCACUUAAAAGGGUGCAUGUGUAGCGAUAUUUUGUUUCGACUUGCCAUAUUGGUAUCCUGUCAUCUUUACCUUAUGCUUUACAUAAUUAGUACAUUGUCCGUACUGACCCCCUUUUCUUGGGGGGCUGCGUUUCAUGCCCGCAGGUGUAGACGCACAGUUCGGUGAUCCUCCUGCCUAGGAU